AACAUUCUUAGCUCAUAGACACUCCUCAAGAUCUGACACUCUUUAAGUACCUGCGAUUGGCAUCCGCCUUUUAAAGGAUUUGCUGAUCCUUCCCAUCUGUAUAAUGACAUAGAAUUACUGUACAGGAAAACUAUACAUGAAAUAGAUAUAACUUUUUGAUCUAAUUCUUGCCGUGCGGUCAGUCCUGAACUGACAUACUACUGUGUACUGAUAUCCAUGAUUUGAUGAAUAUACAUCUGACAGCCCAGCAAAUGAAUUGAGAUAUAUUGUUUUCAUUUCUUUUUUAUUUUGCAGUCAAAUUGAUCUGUGAUGUGCUAUACGGAUAUACAUGCUCUACCCUUCGACAUGAACAUUACACAUCAAUACCCAUAAAGUCAUAGUUGUUCAAUCGGCAUUUUUAUAUUCUAUUGAAGACUUUGUUUUUUAUAUUAACGUGGCCAUGUUACCUCACACCUGCUUAAGUCCAUUAAUUAGUGCUCAAUCAUAGUUUCGUGCAUCUCGCAUUACACUCAUGAAGCAUGCCAGACCCAACCUACAUAGAUUAAAGCUUGCAAUUAGUACAAUGAUUACCUGUCAAUGUCCGUUGCAUGAUCGCACAACCUAUCGUGGUAUAUAUCCAUUUUAUUUUAUUUUAUUUAUAUUUUGGAGGACUCAUAUGCAUCACGUUCAGAAGGAUUUUUUUUUCAAAAAAAAGGUAUAAAUAUAGUUGAGUUAUGGUACCAAAAUGUCAGACGAGACGAGUGAGAAAAUUGGAAGCAGAUUGGAGAAAUCUAAAAUCCAAACUGCGGAAAACGGUUUCGAAAUCAUGCGCACACAUUGUCUCCAUGGAUUUUCAGAUUCACUCAUGAACAGCACGGAAGAAUAAAUACGACUCACAAGGCAUGGCAGCACGCAGGUUUACGGAGAAAAUGAGUGGUGGAUGCAUACCUCGGCCGGAACCCUGGGCUCUGGAUGCUAAACAGCGGCCGCGGCGCCCUCCCAUCCGAGGGAAUCCAUGGGGGCGGCACCGUCGCCAUCGCCGUCGCCGGAGCGGACUUCACCCCUCCACCCCGUCUUGCCUUCUCCGGUGGUGGCCCUGUGG
rnacentral:lncRNA from 1 species